UUUAAGUCCAGGCUAUGUUCUCUGCUAAAGGGAGGAGCACCAAAAACAGCAGCUCUGAUAUUCCUGUCUUGCAGAACACUGCAAGACUAGAAAGAGAAAAGCAGAUAGUUCAAAAUUUAGGCCCCUUGCUUGGCAUUAAAGCAUCUUGGUCAACAGCCCUUAGCUCAUCUCCCUUGUCCUGAAACAAUAACCCAGCUGUCAUUAGCUAAGAGAUUAGGCCAGGUUAAAGGUUUACUCCUGAGCUAAAAGCUAAAAGUUUACCAUGCUAUCAGCCCUAAUAAAGGAAACAUUGUUUCCAAUAUAUUACCAGACAGAUAUUGGUAACCUUGAGUAAAAGUCUAACUGUCCUGCUGACACAAACUGAAAGGCUAUAUGUCCUGUUUCUUUGCACCGUAAAUCAUUGUAUGUGACUGCCAACACAUGACUGCCAGUUUCUUAUGGUGUAUAAAAACCCUCUGAAUUUUGUAAUAAAUAGCUUGUUGUGAAUAGCACAAGUCCCAGAGUAUUUAUUCUGUUCCCUGUACAAUCUCUCUACCCCAGAAGCAGUAUUGCUGCUGAGCAAAGCAAACCCAAGUCCUGAUAACUGGUGCCAGGUACAGAGACUUUCUGGGACCUCUGCUGAGGACAGAGCCAACCUCCCCUGUUAGGCUGGUUGGAUCCUCUUGUCACAGCUGGUUUAUAGAUUCUAUGAUCUUUUAGUAAAAUAAUGGUAUGAAGCACUCUCUUCUAAAGCCAAACUGCUGCUUUCUUCUUGAGUCCAGCUAUACCUGCUUUCAGAAGAUCUUACAAAAUUCAUCAUAAUCACACUUAUUAGAAAAUGAGUCCUCCCCUGGAUGGGAACCACUCGAUCCAUCAGACAGUUCAACCAAGCCACCCACAGCAAAGAUGGCCACACUGACCCUGGAGAAAGCAGAGAAUGAGACCUCAGAACUCCAUGGACCUGGACACCUGAAAUGAGGACUGAACUGAGCAGCUUGUCUUCCCAUCCCAUCCUUGACCUAUGUAUAAUUAACUGUUGUCUCCAAAAGUGUUUACAGAAUCCCCUGAAUGAGCAGCCUAUAUGACUGUGAAAGCCCCUACCAGGGACUAAUUUAGAAUACAUUCCUGCUCCAUGCUAGACGAGAACUCCUCAGUUAAAGUUUCCCAAAACAGCUUCUUUGUUCUACAACCCCAGGAGUGGGGACCAAGGACAGCCCAGCCCAGCUUUCAUAGCUCUCCCUGGUCCCCACAAAAGUAGCUGUGCCACUUUUGCUGAUCUAAUCCUUUGAACGGUCUUCACUGUAACCACUGAUUAAUACCAGGCUUGGUAACUGGAAUGCAAAAGGAGAUAUCUCAACUUGCAUGAAUAACUAGUAAAACAGCAAAUAUAAGUGCAAAAAUACUAGGGGAAAUUAAUCAGGUAAUUAGAGAACUAAGAACUCCUGUGUUACACAAUAGAGCUACUAUAGAUUAUUUACUGUUAAAAAAUGACAGGGGAUGUGACAAUUUCCAGGAACGUGUUGUUUUAAUUUGUCUGAUUUUUCACAUACUAUAGACCAACAGAUUAAU